CGGGGUGCGCUCGGUCUGAUUAGUGGCGAACGGGUGAGUAGCACGUGAGUAACCUGCCCCUCACUUCGGGAUAACCUCGGGAAAUCGGGGCUAAUACCGGAUACGAGCACUCAUCGCAUGGUGGGUGUUGGAAAGAUUUAUCGGUGGGGGAUGGACUCGCGGCCUAUCAGUUUGUUGGUGAGGUGAUGGCUCACCAAGACGAUGACGGGUAGCCGGCCUGAGAGGGCGACCGGCCACACUGGGACUGAGACACGGCCCAGACUCCUACGGGAGGCAGCAGUGGGGAAUAUUGCACAAUGGGCGAAAGCCUGAUGCAGCGACGCCGCGUGGGGGAUGACGGCCUUCGGGUUGUAAACCCCUUUCAGUAGGGAAGAAGCGAGAGUGACGGUACCUGCAGAAGAAGCGCCGGCUAACUACGUGCCAGCAGCCGCGGUAAUACGUAGGGCGCAAGCGUUGUCCGGAAUUAUUGGGCGUAAAGAGCUUGUAGGUGGCUUGUCGCGUCUGCCGUGAAAACCCGAGGCUCAACCUCGGGCGUGCGGUGGGUACGGGCAGGCUAGAGUGUGGUAGGGGAGACUGGAACUCCUGGUGUAGCGGUGAAAUGCGCAGAUAUCAGGAAGAACACCGAUGGCGAAGGCAGGUCUCUGGGCCAUUACUGACACUGAGAAGCGAAAGCAUGGGUAGCGAACAGGAUUAGAUACCCUGGUAGUCCAUGCCGUAAAC
rnacentral:rRNA from 1 species